AGAGUUUGAUCCUGGCUCAGGACGAACGCUGGCGGCGUGCCUAAUGAAUGCGAGUCGAACGGAACAUAGAGAUCGUGAUUGCUUUCGGGCGGUCACCCUUUAUGUUUAGUGGCAAACGGGUGAGUAACACGUGGAUAACGUGCCUUCAAGCCGAGGAUAACAGGGCGAAAGUCCUGCUAAUACUCGAUGGUCUGCCCCUGCUUUGGCGGGGACCAGUAAAGCUCCGGCGCUUGGAGAUCGGUCCGCGGUCCAUUAGCUUGUUGGUGGGGUAAUGGCCCACCAAGGCGACAAUGGGUAGCUGGUCUGAGAGGACGAUCAGCCACACUGGGACUGAGACAUGGUCCAGACUCCUACGGGAGUUAGCAUCCGGGAAUCUUGCACAAUGGGCGCAAGCCUGAUGCAGCGACGCCGCGUGGGUGAUGAAGGUCUGCGGAUCGUAAAGCCCUGUCAGGAGGGACGACACCCGACUGUACCUCCAAAGGAAGCCCCGGCUAACUACGUGCCAGCAGCCGCGGUAAAACGUAGGGGGCUAGCGUUGUCCGGAAUUACUGGGCGUAAAGGGCACGCAGGCGGUCUGUAAAGCGGUGGGUGCAAUCUCGAGGCUCAACCUCGAAACUGCUUGCCGAACUGGCAGACUAGAGCACGGGAGAGGACAGUGGAAUUCCCGGUGUAGCGGUGGAAUGCGUAAAUAUCGGGAGGAACACCAGUGGCGAAGGCUGCUGUCUGGAACGUUGCUGACGCUGAGGUGCGAAAGCUAGGGGAGCGAACGGGAUUAGAUACCCCGGUAGUCCUAGCCGUAAACGAUGCUCACUAGGUGUUGCCGGCAUUAACCCCGGCAGUGCUGUUCUGCUAACGCGCUAAGUGAGCCGCCUGGGGAGUACGGCCGCAAGGCUGAAACUCAAAGGAAUUGACGGGGGCCCGCACAAGCGGUGGAGCAUG
rnacentral:rRNA from 1 species